UUUUGUCCAGAGGCCGGGACAAGCCCAGGGGCUCUGUAGCACCUCCCCAUGGGGAAGGUCAUCACAGAAAGGAUAUAGGCUUUGGACAUUUUCGAUAAACAGUCCUACCAUGUCAACAAUGUUCCUUUCAAACAUGUUUAUAGUCUCCUGGAAAUGUUAAAGAACACAGUUAACAUGCAUAUUUAGAUGUCCAGCACAGAGCAAAAGGUACUCCUCAAAAUUUAGCAACCAGCUCCUCUAAUCACAGACCUUCAGCAUAAAGACCACCCAUCUUGACCCUCCUGAGCAGAUGGUUGUGAACUGACCCCUCUGCUCUCUCUAAAGUUGUUGUUCUCCAACCAUAUUAACUCCCUCACCAUCUGAAUGUUUAAUGCUGUCACCGGAACUUUGCCAGGAACACUUGUCCUGGUCUUACUCCCCUUACCUGCCUGCCCAACACACACACACACAGCCAACCCCCUCUCCUUUGGGUUUCCCAGUGACAUCUGUGCAUCACCUCCAGGGAAACAGUGGAGUGAGCUGUUAAGAGCUAGACUGCCUGGGUCAGUAUUCCCAGCUCCAGCACUCUGUGUAACUCUGGGAAAGGCAUUUCACCUCCUUGGGCCUUAUCUUCCUCAUCUGGGAAAUAGGUUACCUGCAUAAUCCCUGCGUUGUGGCGUUGUGGUGAGGUUAAAUGAGUCACUUCACACAAAAUGCUUUGCAAGGUGCCUGACAGAGAGGAGGCCCUCAGUAGGAGCGGGCUGGCACUCCAGAUCUCUUUCAGUUAGUUGCUGUUUUGUGGUGCUUAGCAAGGCACCUAAGGCCCAAAUGGGAGUUAGUGUUGAUUGAAGGAACAAUGGAAGAUGUGAUCUCCAGGCCUGCCACUCUCGGAGUGCCCCACUCCCAUCUGCUAUAGACUCCAGGGGCUGCAAGGUGGGCAGGGGUGGAAUCUAUAGGAAUGUGAGUACUGUCUGCAGAGUGAGCACCUCACAUAAUUUUCAAACACAUGUAUGUGCUGUUCUCGUGAAUAAAAAUAGGGUCAUUGAAAAGCAUGAUUGCGCUUGUGGCUUUCUGGCCACCAGUAAUACAAGUAGGAUGGCACAUGGGUUCUGGGAAAUGUUUGGAUGUUGAAAGGCAAUCUCCGUGCCUGAAAAGGCUGGGAGCUGCUGCCUCACUCGCCCCUGGCACUGUGCGCUGCUUCUGCAGUGCCUGUGCUCUCCAGCAGGGAGGGAGCACCUGCCCUGUGAUGUGAUGGGGAAAUCUAUCCCAUGUCUGAGGUGUCACUUGACGUGUGAGGAAUUGAUUAGGUGCUAUCACUUGGCCCAGCCACAGCAGCAUCCGAUGAGGUUCAAUUCAUCACACCACUUCAGACUCCCAGCCUCCGCUGCCUUGUAACACAUACUCUGGCUGCUAAUGAAUUUCAGACAGCGGCGCUUUUCAUUUUCACUACUUAGUGCUGAGUUGCAGCCUCCUCACGUCACCUGAGAAGCGGCAACUGCAGGCUGCAAUGCGGAGGGGUCUUUGUUUGGUCCCCAAGUGGGGGUGCGCUUUGCCUUUAGAGUACCCGGAUAGCUCCAGGGGUCUAAUCAAAAACCUCUCCCCACUGACUUCCAGGAUAGGGGGACCAUUUCAGAAGAAUGAGCUCACCUCUCAUUUUCCACAAGAAUCACUUCCAAUGUAAAUGAUUAAAAUGUAAUAAAAGCAAACAGGACUGAUGAGCAAGAAAGCUACAGCCUGCCACGCUGAGUCGUGCUGGACGUUUCCAGCAGAGGCGUGCCCAUGAAGGCUACAGUUCACCUAUGGAUGUGCAGCUGCAUCGCCAGAUUCUGGCACUUGUGCCCAGGGCCCAGCCUUACCUCCAGCUGCUCCACCAGCUGCAUCUCCAGCGUCAUGAGCGCAUCGAACAACUCACUGAUGUCAGCACUGCAUUCUAGGAUCAUCUUCUCAAUGUUGGGCAGUUCCAACUCCUCUCGAAUGGCACUUAAACUCUAGAAACAAUAGACUGCACUUUAGGAAUCAACAACUAAGUGUAAUUAGAUAAUGGCAGGUGGCAAUUUGGUUUUGUGGGUAAGAAUUUGGACUCGAGUCAGCCUGCCCAAGUGCAAGUCUCAGCUUUGCCAUUUGCUGGCUCUGAAAGCGUGUAGAAGCUACCUACCCUCUCCAUGCCUCAGUUUCCUGGUCUGUAAAGUGCGAUUGAUAGCCCCUACCCUUGACACAAGUGAGAGAACACAUGUGAGGCUCUUUGAGCACUAGCAAGUGCUCACUCCCUGUAAGCUCAGGUUUUUAUUAGAGGCUGGUAGGCAGGGUAGAAGGAGCCAUGGCUUUCAUGGGGUUCAGAGCAUUUCACACCAAAAUAUGCCGCUUUGGCAUAGUGAUUAUUUUGAGUUAAAGAUACUUAAAGGCCGGGAGCAGUGGCUUAUGCCUGUAAUCCCAGAGUGCUGAGAUUACAGGUGUGAGCCACUGUGCCCAGCCAAGAAGCCAUUCUUAUCAUCAGAGGGAGGGAGUCCGGGCCAAGGGGAAUCUGUGUGAACAAACCUUGUUAAACUAACGCUCAUCUGCCUUGUCACUUCUCCACGAUGAACUGCCUUAGCCCAAACCUCUUUGUCUUGUCACGUUCUCACAAUUCACUACUCUCUGUCCAACUAAGUAUAUAAGCUUUCGGCCCUAACGGCUUCUUGAGCCUUCAUUUUGCUUGUGAAUGCUCCCAUGUACAUGUACAAAUUACUCAAUAAAAUUUGUAUGCUUUUCUCGUU
rnacentral:lncRNA from 1 species